GUUUGAAGAUAAUGAUUUAUUUCUGUAUCAUUACUUGGUAAUUGUAUGGUUGAAGACAGGCAAUUCCUUUUAUAAGAAGUUGCAGUUUACUUUAGAUUGGCUAGGAAAUUGCUUUGAAAUUGUCUCUUUGUAAAUAACUAAUAUUACUCGGAGCUGCCCUGACUUGAAUAUCAGCUAGAAUAACUCUGUUCCUGCAAUUUCAGACUAUAGUGAUUAUUUGGGUGAGAGUUUAAUGACAACAAGCGAUGCUGAGACUACAGAGGAAUCAAUAUCACUCGUGAUUGAUGAUACAGUUCAUGUUGCGGUUGGAAAGGAUGUUGGAGAAAGCAGGUUGGCUUUGAAAUGGGCAGGGCAUCACAGAAUUUUUCUAGCAAGAGAAUUUGCCUUCUUCGUGUUCACCAGCCUGCUGAAGUGAUACCCUUGAACUUGGAUAAAAUCAACCCCUUUGCCACUUGUUUAUUUAUUAUGUGUCUGGGAUGCAUUUGGUGGGAAUUUUCCAGCUAACAGACUUGAACAGCAUGAACUGAGGGAGUUCCAAGAACUUGAAAGGAAGAUUAUGCACAGGAUCCUGGACGAUUACCUUCUCAUUUGUCACCAUGCAGCGGUUCAUGCAGAAAAGCUAUACAUUGAGGAGGAGGAUAUUGGAAAGGGGAUCGUGGAACUCUUGUCCCAGCACGCUAUCAAGAAGCUUGUUAUGGGUGCAGAUGCUGACAGAUAUUAUUCAGAGUACAAUCCAUAACUACACUAUCGUACUUCAUCAAACUCAGAUGUCAAUGGAUAAAAUUUUGUGAUAUCCGAAUGACUAUGGAUUUUGGCUGCUGCUCUUUGUAGAGCUAAGUUUUUAUUUUCAGGCAUGCUGCCUCAAUGGGUUCCGUCAUAUGAACUAUGCCAUGUAUUUUUAAGCUGAGUAGACCAUUGAUGAAACCAUUGGGAGACUACGCAGAGAAUCAGAAUGGUCACACUAUUAGAGAUAAGAAGUUCACAGAAGAAUUGGUUUAGAGGCUGAAAAGGGGCCAUAAUUCACAUUUGGUCUGGGCUUGUUAGGUCUUUCACCAGAGAUUCCAGUUCUUGUUUUUUCCAAAUUCUAUUAUGCAGUGAUCUGAAAUCGCUCACAAAGCUACCUCAAAAUUGCAGGGGAAUGAUGAAUCUCUAGUUCAGAAAGGACAAAUAUGCCAACAGUGUGCACCUCUUUCCUGUCAAAUUUUUGCUUGUCUGCAAGGGGCACCUCGUAAACACAGGGUAUGUUUUACAAGUAUCAUGUUAACCUGUUCUAAUAGCACCGGGAGUGCAUGGAUGUAAUGCAGUCCUGGGUGCUAAUUUAUCAGAGUGAAUGUACUUCCAAGUUACUGACACCCAAACAACUUAACUGUCUUUUCAAGUGUCGAAAUGCUGACUGUCAAUCUCCCAGCAUUCACAACAAGAAACUGUAGUUUAUUGCAUAAAAAUUGAAAGCAAUUAAAAGAAAUAUCCAAAAGAAAUGUAAAGAUUUGAUUCCUGAGAACCCCAACAGCCUCCGCUGCAUUUCAAUUGUCCCAUUUGCAGGUAAUUCCAUUGCUUUCUUAAAUUGAAUGCUAUUCUCAUCUCUUUUCAAUUGUCAACAGUUGUUUUUUUCUGAAGUGUAUUUUGUUCUCAUAUACUAUGUUGUUCUCCUGAUUAAAUCCCACAAUGUUUGCAGUAACAAUUUUAUCUGCUAGUGUUUGCAGGAAGUCAUGCAAGAUACUCAGGUUGCAGCAGAUGGAUUUACCUAUGAAGCAGAGACUUCGAUAGGAUGGCUAGAGAUAGAGCUUGAAAAUCUUGAUCUCAUCCCUAAUCGUUCUCUUCGUUCUGCAAUUCAAGAGUGGCUGCAGCAGCGUUUUUCAUUAUUUUAUUCAGCUAAGACCAUAGCGGCAUUGAAUAUAGUUUCAUCUCUUGAGAGAGUCUUUUCCAUGCUAGACUGUCAAUUCUUAGUUGCAAGGGACUAGCAUGUAAUUUUUAGUGUCUAUUUAAAAUUAAAUCACAUAUUAAAUUAAAUUCAAUUAAUAUUAUCAA